UUGCUGAAUGGAACCGAUGGGAGGCAGUGUUGGCGUGCGGUCAUUCUUCGUUCCUCGCUCGCGGGGUGCGCGUGAUGCCGUUCGCAAGUCAGGCUUCCUUCGACGAGUGGGAGAGGUCCCAGACCUGUAUGGGCUGGGUUCGCCGUCACUUGUUGGAGGGACUUUGACGAAAUGCCUCUUAUCAACCCGUCUUGAAACACGGACCAAGGAGUCUAACAUGUGUGCGAGUGCUCGGGGUUUAUCCCCCAGCGCGGAAUUAAUGUGAAGGCCUUUUUGGCUGAGGUAGGAUGCUUCGGCUGCACUAUCGACCGACCAUGAUCCUUCGGGUGAAAGGUUUGAGUGUGAGCAUACAUGUUGGGACCCGAAAGAUGGUGAACUAUGCCUGAGUAGGGCGAAGCCAGGGGAAACUCUGGUGGAGGUCCGCAGCGAUUCUAACGUGCAAAUUGAUCGUCGAACUUGGGUAUAGGGGCGAAAGACUAAUCGAACCAUCUAGUAGCUGGUUCCUCCCGAAAUUUCCCUCAGGAUAGCUGCAACCGACCAGUUUUAUCA
rnacentral:rRNA from 1 species